AUGACUGUACAAAGGAUUCAUCAACAAAAACAGCUUGAGAAGAAUGAAAUUACAACCACAAGAUUAUAUAGAAAGCAAAUGGCACUCAUGGCAAAGACUUCUUCAAAAAUCAACAAGUUUAAAAGGCAAAGUAAUAAUCCCAUCACAGAAACCAAAUGUUCAAAAGAUUGUGAUGAUGUACCAAUUUAUAAAGACAGUCCAGAAAGAUCAUCAAGCUCCGAACAACAAAUUUUCAAAAAACCUCAAGAUAUUGAUCAUACUGCAAAAGAGAUUGAAAACCAGUUUUAUAAGGAUUAUAAUAAUAAGGGACAUCCAGUGCCAAAAGCUCCAUGA